AACCCACUUCUCCGAAAGAGGUUGAGGGUGUCUUGUCCCUUUAGGGAUCACCACAUAGGGUUUACCCAGCAAUUACUUUGUUCUUUCUUCAUUCUUCCUACAUUUCUCCAAUUCCAUUAUGACAUGCAGAUGCUUGUUGCAUUGUUUUGAGUGUGUCCAGCUGGAGACAGUUGCAGCAGCUCUGGUCAUAAUCCAUGCUUUCAGUCAUGUGUAGGAAAUAUCAAACUUUAUGUUUGGUCAUGCAGAAAAUGACACCUGAAUUAUAAUUUUUAUGGGAGUUUGAAAAGUCUCGCUUCUUUGAUGAUUAUCCAAAGAUUCAAUCAUGAAAUGCGGAAAAUGUAAAUUCAUGUAUAUAGGUUUGAAACUUAUUUCUUUAGAAAAUGUAAAUCUUCAUGUGUAUAUGAAUCUCCUACAUUCCCUAAUUUCAAACCCAUAUCAAUGGUGUGUGUACCCCAUUUAUAUUUAUUACAACCAUCGGUUAUAUAUAUCACAUUCAAAACACCCACAAUCAUAUACAAAGAAUUUUAGCAAAUUUUUGGUUGCAAAAUGGGGAUUGGUAGUUGAAAAUUUUAUUAUUAUUGAUUAUUAUUUCAUUAGAGGGUUGUCAAAUUUCUUGUUAAUAAAGUUUCACAAAAGAACAGAAAAUAAAAUUACAAGGUAUAAUAUAUGUACUUUUUAAUAAUAAUAAUAAUAAUAUUAUUUGUAUUUUGUCUAUCAUUAUAUAUAUAUAUAUAUUGAUAAUUUAUUUAAAGUUAUAAAUUUGUUAAUAUUAUUACAUAGUUAUGGAUUUCUUUAAUAUAAUAUGCUAGAUGCUCUUUUGAGUAAAGGAAUAUUGUUAUUGCUUUUAUAAUAAUAUAUAAGAACAUUAGAAAAAAACAGUUAAUGAUGUAUUUUUUUGGCAAAUUUAAUAAUCAUAAUUUCAUAUUUGAAACUACCAAUAACAUAAUGAGAUUCGACAUCUAUAAAAUUUACAGGAUUUAUAACAUAGUCUAAUUAGAUUUAUAUGUUUAAUUUACAUGAACAAAUUAAAAAUAAAUUAUUUAGUUGAGUAAAUUACAAUAGAUAUGAUAUUUUAUAUCAAAAGAUAAUUUUUACUGAUGAAUACUUUAAAUAUAUAAUAUGGGAAAAGAUCAUUGAAAAGUAUUAAUAAACUGAGGUGGUGUUUGUUUUUUUACUUAAUUCUAAAUAGAACCUUAAUGCUUAAUAGUGUCAAAUAUUAGAUUGUUUGUUUUUGUAGUAUUUUAUUUCUAUUAAGUAUUAAAAAAAUAAAAAUAAAAACAAUAUGUUAUUUUUUCUAUUUAGAAAAAGCUACAUAUUUUAACUUUUUCUAUUUAGUAAAAAGUUUAUAAUAAGUCAUGAAAAAUAGAAAAAUAAACAACCUAAAUUCUAAAACUAAAUUGUUUUCAGCAAAAAGCCAAAAAAAACAAACACCACCUGAGUGUAGGGUUAAUUUUGUAAAAUAAAUUAUCUUUAGUCUUUAAUGACUUUCAUUAUCAAUGAGUUAAAUUAAAUUCAAUACAUUGAACUAUCAUACCAAAUGCUUUUCACUUUGAUUGAUUUAGCAAUUAUUAUAAAGCUUAUAAUUUUUAGAAAAUAAGAAAAUAAAUCUUAAAAAUCAUUCACAUAAGGUAGACAGCUCUAUUUGCAAGUGGAACUUUGUCUACUGUGGCAUGAGGACUACGGCACCAUGAUUGCCCACUCUUCAGUGCACCAGGCUUGACCCGGGUAGCUCUUUUGUCCCUUUUGGAAAACUGCACCGUAACUAUUGCCCCUUCUUGUCCGGCUUAACCCACUUCUCCAAAAGCGGUUGAGGGUGUUCUUGUCACUUUAGGGACCACUACACAGGGGUUACCCAACAAUUACUUUAAUAUGUCUAACGAGAGACAGUUGCAGCAGCUCUAGUCAUAAUCCAUGCAUUCUAUGAGGUGUAGGAAAUACCAAACUUUGUGUUUGCUCAUGCAGAAAAUGACUCUGGAUUUAUAAUUUUUAUGGGAGUUGGAAAAGUCUUUGCUUCUUUGAUCCAUGAUUAUCCAAUGAUUCAAUCAGGACAAGCAGAAAAUGUAAAUCUUCAUGUAUAUAGGUUUGCCAGUUAUUUCUUCAAAAAAUAUAAAUAUUCAUGUAUAUAUGAAUCUCCAACAAGCCCUAAUUUCACCCCUAUAAAUUCGAUAUUUCACUCCUAUAAUUUGUGUCAUGCUUCCAUAUUAUAUUACUCUUCUCCAAUAAUCGUUGAAUCUGCUUUAUUAAUUCUACUCCAAUAUCUCUUAAUUUCGCUUUCAAGGACAAAGUUAUAAAUCUUCUAUUCUAUUAAUUUAUAUCAUGAUCUAAUUGCUUUGUGUCCUUAGUCACAUUGCUUUGUACCCUUGAUCACAUUGCUUUGUAGAGAGGUUUCAUUUCUUCAUGUUUUUGUCCCAAUUGGUUGAUCGUACCAUAGUUCCUUUUGCUUUGCAUCCCCAUUGUUACAAAAUCAAAUAAAUAAGUUAUACUCAACUCUCAAUGGUGUGCACCCAAUUCAUUUGUAUUACAACGUACCAUAUGCUAUAUAUCACAUUCAAAUGGAAGUAUUCUUAUAGAAUUGAUAUUGAUGUUAAACACUUGACCAAAUGUUUCAUUAUUUAGACCAAAGCUCAAUGGCAAAAACAAUGAAGGAUAAAUCAUUAGAUAAGGUAGACUUUAGGAUUUUAAUUGAGCUAAAAUAUUUUUAUUAGAUUAUUAAAAACCGGAUGCAUGCUCAAACCUAGCGCUUAAUUAAGUACUCAAAUUUAGGCUCAAGCGUUUGAGAGCACUCAAGCACGAGAAGCACUCUAGUAUUUGAGCGUUUGAAGUCGAUCUUUCCAAAUUUGAAUUCCCAAUUUUGUUUUAAUUCUUUUCAUGUUUUAAGAAUUGGUUUUUGGAAACUUUAGGUGUCAAUCCACUAGGGUUUCAUCCUUGUAUAAAUAUUAUGUCUAGGAAUUGUUUUCGUUAUUGAUGGAAAUUUGAAAAAAAGAUUAUCAGCCUUUAUGGAUUCUAAAACUCCUAGGUUUUUGUAAUUCUCAUUCUUUCAGUUCGUGAGAGAGAUCUGCAUCCCUUUAGGUGUUGAGAUAAUCCAUUGAUUGCAUGUGUGGUGUUGUGUUACGAAUUUGAAAACUAGUAUAUGUAUUGAAGAAUAAAACUUAAGGAUAACAUGCACCAUAUAAAUUUGUAUAUUUUUCUUUUGAAAGAAGAUUUGUGUUUUGUAGUCUUUAAUCCUAUGGGUUUUAUAUCUGUAUAUUUACAAUGAUAUAGAUAAGGAAUGAUAAAUAUUUGUUCAUAUAUAUAUAUUAGAUUAUUAAGGUAGAGAAUUCCAAGCACAAGGUUAAGGAAUUAAUAAGUUUGAGUCAAAUUAGAUGUAAUUACAUUGAAGUUGUUAAAACGAUUUAUUAAAUUAUUAAACAGAUUACAUUAGAUUGAAUUAUCUAGAAAAAGAGUAGCACGGGAAAAGUGUGACUACCAAGUCAAUAACCAAUGUUUUUGCACCACUUUAAUAAGUGAACUGUACCAUAUGGUUAUCAUUCUGGAUGGGACUACAUUGAAGCCCUUUUUCACCUCCUAGGACAUAUUUUUCCAGAAAAAGUUGUUGCUCACGAAUUACUUGAUAGACGUUAAGAUCACUCACAGCUUCUCACUGGUCUCACUGGUGUAACGGCUGCUGCUUGCUGCUGUACUUCAGAAGUUGUUGCACUUCUAAAGUUAGGUAGUUUGUUAGACUUUGUUAGAUUAGUUAGGCUGUUACACAAUGGAAAAUUCUGUUGUACGGACGUGGGUACGGUACCAGCAAAAUUCCCGUUUUUGGAUCAGAAGCUUCCAAUCAAGACUGAAUGCCUUUGCACCACUUAGCUGGACUGCAUCAUCGUAUUGCCUCUUCUUGAAUACGCUUUGCUUGAUCAACUUGCCCCUGCUUGCCCUCCAUGACCCACUUUUUUCCAAGGAGGUGAUAACCCACUCUUCACUGCACCAUGCUUCACCCGAGGUUAGCUCUUUUGUCCUUUUGGAAAACUGCACCGCAGCUGUCCCUUCUUGACCGGCUCAACCCACGUCUCCAAAAGAGGUUGAGGGUUAGGGAUCACCACACAGGGUUUACCCACCAAUUACUUUGUUCUUUCUUCAUUCUUCCUACAUUUCUCCAAUUGCAUUAUGAAAUGCAAAUGCUUGUUGCAUUGUUUCGAGUGUGUCCAGCUAGAGACAGUUGCAGCAGCUCUGGUCAUAAUCCAUGCUUUCAGUGAUGUGCAGGAAACAUCAAACUUUAUAUUUGGUCAUGCAGAAAAUGACACCUGAAUUAUAA
rnacentral:lncRNA from 1 species